CACAUUAGUUACAGGGUUUUGUUGCUAAGAGACCUUCAGCUUUCUAAGUCUUACUAGUUUCUUAAACUAGAUAUUUCUGUUGUUGAUUGUUUAUUCUCAGCAAAACACUACUGAAAUGAGAUCUGGUAUAACUUUUUCUCCAAACUUGUCCAAAGCGUGCAUGCUGUUUAUAAUGGCACUGUCUUAGAUAAUGCUGUCCUAGCCCUAUUAACUUGGCAAGUCACUUUUCUGGAGGCUCCUUUAUGUUUUGUAUUUUCCCUGUUUUUCUUCAUAAGGCUUUUGUUUUGUAUUUGUUUUACAGUAUUGACAUUAGUCAUGGUUUCAUUAACAGACAUGUUUAAAAACUGAAUCUGGGAAGUUCAACAGUUCAUCAGAAAUGGCAGGUAGCAUCCAUAAGAAGAGGGUAGAAUAUACCUGAGAGAAAAAGAUUGCUGACUUGUUCUCUACACUGAGCAAUCAAUGUGGCAUAUACAACACGCUCAGUGCCACAAUUUAAAUCUGCUAACUAGUUUCAUUGUUUAGACAAUCACUAAGUGAGAUAGAAGUCAACAACGAGGUCACAGAAGGAACAAUCAAACAUCUAAUGCAUCCACCUCAGCUGGGCACAGAUGAUGAAUUUCACCUGAAAGAUCAGAUGGUUGGAGACAGCAGAGAGCUGGGCUGCCAGCUCUCAGUGCAAGAGACAGCAGAAGAAAACAGGUGAACUAUGGGAAUAUUUACAGAAUUGCUCCCUGGACCGGAAAAGAAACUACACCUAGAGCUUCUCCAGACAACCUGCCAGAAAAAGAAAUAGAGAUAAAUAUGGUGAAGAAAAUUGAAAUGACAACAUACAAACAAAACUAACUUCAUUAUGUGGCACUGGCACCCACCAAAUGUUGACCUGGAUUCCACUGUGCUCAGCACUGCCAGCUGGGGAGCAAUCAGAUAGACUCCAUCCAAGUGAGGGCUGGAGAGAUGACAAGACUAAACAGUUUCAUGUGGUAAAUUACGCUGGUAAGCAACUUACACAAAAGUUCCACUGCUUGUUAGGUUGUAAAGCAAGAAAAUGGCCACGUGAAGUAACUAAAGGGAGGACUGAGAUGGUGAAUUUCUAUGCAGCAGUUGUCUUGCUGAAGUGUGGAAUGAAACAAAAACAAACAAACAAAGUAUGUGAAAAAGGCAUAUAUAUUUUUUCUGCUUCCAUGAUAUUGCUGAUCAUUUGUCCCUAUAAAGAAAUUUUCCUUUUUUCCAGUGGAAUGUAGGAAAAAAAUCAAAAGAUGGAGUUUUAAAAGCUAAAAUUACAGCUAGAUAAUUUUUAAUGGUACCUUUUCUGUCUUUGUUUACAUUCUUUAAGAUUGUUCAGCUCUUUGCAUUCAAUUUUAAUUGGAGAGAAAUUAGAGUAAAUCC
rnacentral:lncRNA from 7 species